GUGAGGAAUAUUGGUCAAUGGGCGAGAGCCUGAACCAGCCAAGUCGCGUGAAGGAAGAAGGAUCUAUGGUUCGUAAACUUCUUUUGCAGGGGAAUAAAGUGCAGGACGUGUCCUGUUUUGUAUGUACCCUGAGAAUAAGGAUCGGCUAACUCCGUGCCAGCAGCCGCGGUAAUACGGAGGAUCCGAGCGUUAUCUGGAUUUAUUGGGUUUAAAGGGUGCGUAGGUGGUUUGAUAAGUCAGCGGUGAAAGUUUGCAGCUUAACUGUAAAAAUGCCGUUGAAACUGUCGGACUUGAGUGUAAAUGAGGUAGGCGGAAUGCGUGGUGUAGCGGUGAAAUGCAUAGAUAUCACGCAGAACUCCGAUUGCGAAGGCAGCUUACUAAGCUACAACUGACACUGAAGCACGAAAGCGUGGGGAUCAAACAGGAUUAGAAACCCCGGUAGUCC
rnacentral:rRNA from 1 species